UGGCUCAGUGGUUAAGUGUUUGACUGCUAGCCAAAAGGUUGGUGGUUCGAAUCCACC
rnacentral:tRNA from 1 species